rnacentral:rRNA from 1 species
GAUGAACGCUGGCGGCGUGCCUAAUACAUGCAAGUCGAACGCAUAGCGAAAGGUGCUUGCACCUUUCAAGUGAGUGGCGAACGGGUGAGUAACACGUGGACAACCUGCCUCAAGGCUGGGGAUAACAUUUGGAAACAGAUGCUAAUACCGAAUAAAACUUAGUGUCGCAUGACACAAAGUUAAAAGGCGCUUCGGCGUCACCUAGAGAUGGAUCCGCGGUGCAUUAGUUAGUUGGUGGGGUAAAGGCCUACCAAGACAAUGAUGCAUAGCCGAGUUGAGAGGUGGACCGGCCAAAUUGGAACGGUACCACGGCCAAACCCCCAAGGGGGGGGUGCAGUAGGAAAUUUUCCAAAAGGGGGGAAAGCCUAAGGGGGCAACGCCGGGGGUUGAAGAAAGGCUUUGGGGUGGAAAAGCCCUUUUGUAUGGAAAAAAAGACUAAAAUAGAAAAUGAUUUUGUUUGGAGGGUACCAAACAAAAAAGGGACGGCAAAAUACUG